rnacentral:rRNA from 1 species
GAUGAACGCUGGCGGCGUGCCUAACACAUGCAAGUCGAGCGAUUUACUUCGGUAAAGAGCGGCGGACGGGUGAGUAACGCGUGGGUAACCUGCCCUGUACACACGGAUAACAUACCGAAAGGUAUGCUAAUACGAGAUAAUAUGCUUUUAUCGCAUGGUAGAAGUAUCAAAGCUUUUGCGGUACAGGAUGGACCCGCGUCUGAUUAGCUAGUUGGUAAGGUAACCGGCUUACCAAGGCGACGAUCAGUAGCCGACCUGAGAGGGUGAUCGGCCACAUUGGAACUGAGACACGGUCCAAACUCCUACGGGAGGCAGCAGUGGGGAAUAUUGCACAAUGGGCGGAAGCCUGAUGCAGCAACGCCGCCGUGAGCGAUGAAGGCCUU